AUUGAACGCUGGCGGCAGGCCUAACACAUGCAAGUCGAGCGAGCGGCGGACGGGUGAGUAAUGUAUGGGGAUCUGCCUGAUAGAGGGGGAUAACUACUGGAAACGGUGGCUAAUACCGCAUACUAUCGGAUGUACCCAUAUGGGAUUAGCUAGUAGGUGGGGUAAAGGCUCACCAAGGCGACGAUCUCUAGCUGGUCUGAGAGGAUGACCAGCCACAUUGGAACUGAGACACGGCCCAGACUCCUACGGGAGGCAGCAGUGGGGAAUAUUGCACAAUGGGCGCAAGCCUGAUGCAGCCAUGCCGCGUGUAUGAAGAAGGCCUUAGGGUUGUAAAGUACUUUCAGCGGGGAGGCGUUACCCGCAGAAGAAGCACCGGCUAACUCCGUGCCAGCAGCCGCGGUAAUAC
rnacentral:rRNA from 1 species